CCAGAAAGCGCUCGACAAGUAUUUGGUAGUAAACAGGUGGGUAACUUGGGCCAGUUCCUAUAUAUGACGAAAAUUUGGUUACUAUAACGGCCCUAAAUACAGAGGUAACCAAUUCAUGCUCAGAGCAUGAUGUUGGGGAUGAGAUCACCCUAAUAUGUGGAAAGACAUGGCUCUAAGAAGAACUUUAUGUAGGUCUACACUGCCUGAACGUUUCUAAUCAGAAUUGCUUUUGAGUAUAAUAUUCAAUUAUACCAUGUUUAUUUUUUAGGGAAUAUACCUUGGGAAAUAUUGGUCAAGGAAGUGAAAAUAACUGUUAUCUCUCACACACAAAGGCAGUCAAUGACGCUAGAAAUUCAAAGACUCAGUGAAUACGGUAUCUAUCCACUCCUGACGAGAGGAGUAUAGAAGUAUCGUCCAAGCGAGGCAGAAUUAAUGUAAAUGGCACUAGGAAAGGUAUUCCCCAGACAGAGGGUGCAGGGAUGUCCUUUCCUACAGACUCUGGUCAAAGCUGAAACGCAAACGUGUUCCUCAUGAGUGGGGAUCUCAUAUUCUGGAAGAGGUCUCGUACCUGCAUCCAGACAGUCCUUUGGAAAAGUUCCUGCUACUUCCCUCCCAUCUCCAGGCAGGGCUUGUCAUCAAAUGCACGUGUACAACUAAAUCUGCUCAGUAUAAUUAAACUGAACAAAUCAAAUCCCUCUAUGCCUAGGAAAAAGACUAGAAAGAAAUACAUUAAAAUAUUAAUGCAGCUAUACUGCA
rnacentral:lncRNA from 1 species